rnacentral:lncRNA from 1 species
AGAUCAUUUACACAUAAUAUCUCAUUGCAAAUUCAAUUCACAAAUCAGAUCAAGUUUAACAAAACAUCACAUUUUCAUUAUAAAUUCAAUUAAUAAAUCAGACCAAGUUUAUCAAAACAUCACAUUUUCAUUCAGACAUUUUAACAAACAUCUGGUAUGUCAAAUACAAGGCAUGUCCUACACCUACACCAUCAAUUACAUCUUAACACC